UACGUAGGUGGCAAGCGUUGUCCGGAUUUACUGGGCGUAAAGAGCGCGCAGGCGGUCGUUCAAGUCGCGUGUGAAAGCCCCCGGCUCAACUGGGGAGGGUCACGCGAUACUGAUCGACUCGAAGGCAGGAGAGGGUAGUGGAAUUCCCGGUGUAGUGGUGAAAUGCGUAGAUAUCGGGAGGAACACCAGUGGCGAAGGCGGGUUGCUGGGCUGAUACUGACGCUGAGGCGCGAAAGCCAGGGGAGCGAACGGG
rnacentral:rRNA from 1 species